CCUUAAUUAAAGCCGUAACUAACUUAACUAUCUUAUCAUUAAUAAAGUUUCUAUAUGUUAUGCUUCUAUGUCCUUCAGUAUUUUGUCACUUACCAUCUUUGCUUUUUCAUUUCCAUAACAGCAUCACCCCCUAACUUUUUACACUUUGAUUUCAUUAAUAAUCUUUUAUAAUAAGUUAAACAAAUACAGAUAAUAACUGUCACCAACAUAAUUAUGCCUAUAAUGAAGUUAUCUUUUUCCCCCAGUCCCAACAUGUAACUCAGCCAGCUACUGAAGGAGCAGAGAGAAGGAAAGUUGAAACUGUGGUGCCAGUGGUUUGGUCUGCACACUCAGUUCAGGCUGCUGUCUCUAGUCUGGAGGAUAGGCCUCAGCCACAGCUUCAAACACUGCCACUGCCACAGACACCUCCACCUCAGGUGCCACUGCCACCACUUCAGCCACAACUACAGCCUGUAGUUGGUCAUGGUGCAUCAACUACUGGAAGCAAAAGAGUGCCUAAAAUAGCAAAGGUCAUCAUAACAACGGCACACAGCAGGAGAAGUCGGAUUGUAAAAGGAUCCUUGGAGCUUGUUCUGGAACAUAUUGUUCAAGGACGUCUCAACAGACUUCCACAUGCCUUUAUGUCUGUCCCGGGCAUGUCUGAUGCAGUGGUGCGAGAAGUGCUUAAUGUUGUGAAAAAGGAGUGCAAGAAGCUAACAAGCCUGAAAUUCAAGUCAGUUCUCCGAAAGAAUAGCAUCAACGAUUUAAAGGACUUUAAAAUGAUGGAUGUUGUUGAAGAGUGGAGGAGGAACGCACCAACCUUUCUUAAGUUUUUAGAGUCUGCAAGUUCAGUCUCCACGGAGGUCACUGAUUCAGGAACACGGCCUCUGUCUCACAGCAAGACAAAUAAAUUCAAAUUACCAAUGGCUGGGUCGAUGCUCCUACAAGCACGCUGCCAGUCAAUGACGGCACAUAUGUAUCGGAAUGCUCUGGUUAUGUGUCGUGGAGGGGCCAAAAGACGUUGUUUUCAACGGUUAAAUCGAUUGGGUAUCUGUAUAUCUGAUGGAAGGGCUCUUGCAAAGCUGAAAGAAAUUGCACAAGCAUGGGACAGCAAGUUCCUCAAAUGGA